ensembl:lncRNA
UGGUGCUCAUAAGAAAGUCACAGGUCUGACAAUUAAGCUGCACCAGGAUUUCACGGUUCGGAUUUUCCCUUUCUUAGCUGUGCUGUUCAUUUCCUUACAAGCAGGAAUGCUGUUUGCUCUCCAAGCCGAGACGAAGAAGAGAAGCGAGAACAGUAAGAGCUAUUUUUUGAAAGCCACCCUAGACCUGCAAUGGGAACUACAAAGGCAAGAAGCUCUCUGGCUUUUAGUUCAAGUUGUUUCAGAGGCUUCCUGUAUCCCUUCUCAACAGCUUUGGUGCAGCACUGUCGGCCUAUGGACCUUGGGAGUGAAGAACAACUGGAAUGAUGCUUCCCCGCCCCAAGCAGGCUCUACAGAGGGAUGAGGAAGGACCAAGCCAGCCCCAUCUGGGGCUAAGAGCACUGGGGAAUGACCUCCUCCAUGAACAAAGCACCCCACAGUCUCUGGAUUACACUUCUGAUUUGAUUUUUUCUCUUACCUUUUGGUUUCUAACUCAAAUAUGUGGAUGUUGUGAAUGCCCCCUCUCUGGAGGCAUUCAAGGCCAGGAUGGAUGGGGCUGUGAGCAGCUUGGUCUAGAGGGUCUGUAGCAGGGGGUUGGAACUAGGUGAUCUUAAAGGUCCCUUCCAACCCAAACCAUUCUAUGAUUCUAUGAAAUAUGAAGCAAUUGCUUCUGUAAUGAGAAGACAAAAGAAGGACAAGCCUGGAGAGGCAGACUAGAGCCCUGUCUGUCUGAAGAAGUCAUAGAAAAGUGGCCAGAAUUUCUUCUGGCUUAGUAUUAUCUCCUCAUUUCAAAAAUGUCGGUGCCACUGGUCUUGAUAGAAACAAGAGAAUGCUGAAACACAGUGGUGUGGCUCAAAGACACCACAGCAUCAAGAUUCGGGUAAAUGGCACGGUCACACUUUUGGGACCAAAGAGGCAAUAUCUUGUCCAAGUCCUGGAAGGUGGGGAAGGCACUGACAUAUGAUCGUAACAAGGAGUAUUUUGGAGGCAACCUAUGAAAGAUAUAUGUUUAAAUCAGGAGUGCAGCAAAAGAAUGGGAUAAAAAAUGAGAAAAUCAUAGAAACAUACCUGCUGGCCAGUAUAAAAAUCACAAGCUUAUGAAGUAGCUUUCAGUCCCACCUAUAAGACUCUGUUGGACCUGUACAGAGAGGAUGAACUUCUCAUGUCAUUUCAACACAGUAGGAUGCAACCCUCUUGCCCUUCUGUCUAUUCAUGUCUAGUGUUAACAGGGAGCUGUUAAAGAGCUGCGGGGUUCCAGCUCUGAAGCAGAUACAUUUCAGAGUGAGAUCCAGCAAUUUUUUGCACGUGUGUAAUUUCAAACAUCUGAGUACUUAAUUUGCAGGGGGAAGGCAGGCACGUACAUCUUUACCAAGGCAGGACAGAAACGUUAUCCUAUAUUGAUCUGUAAAGCACCUUGGAAGGCUAGCACCACACUUCCAGCAGCUAAUUUUGACAACUUCAACCUCUGAGCUCUGAAGGUGAACAGCGGUAAUAAAAGCCUCACUUAAUCCAAUUUCCCCCAAUUCAGGUAAGAUUAAUCGUGUGCAUGAAAUGCUCUGCUUCCUACACUGAAAACCGAGAUAGAUCAGCUGAACAGGGAUAGGUGAUGCUGGCAUCAGACAAACCAGCCACCAGCUUAUGGAUCCACCCAUUCUCCUCAUUGCUGCCACCCUAACCACACAGCAUCUCUUUUUACUCAGAGCAGAAGAAAGAAAUUGGUUUCUGAGCACCUCACCUCCAGGCUGCCAGAUUUUUACCAAAGCCUGAAAAUGACUUCAGCAAGUAGAAACACUUCUGACAUCUCAGUUUUGCACUUUCGUAUACUGUGAGUUCAACCUGUGAACAAACGCCCUGGUCCCAGUGCUUUCCUAAUGGUAGACUCCAGUGAGCUUCACCAGGAAUUCAGCUGAACCAAAAUAUAAAGCCAGGGUUUUGGUUUCCACGCUGCAAUCCUGAAAUCCAAUAACGAUCUCCUCCCCCCCAUCCCUCCGCUGCUGAGAAUUAACUGAAAAAUAGAGCUGUGUAGAGGUUUUGCAGCAAAUCAACCGAACCUUGUGUCAGUGAGAUCAAAAUAGAACCAACAGGAACUUUAAUCUGUCUCUGCUACAGAGAGAUGAAAUCAGUGCAGGCUCCAUAAAAUAAGAGUAAUGGAAACUGUUCAAGGUUAUGAGUAUCUGCAACAACAAAGUGUCUCCCAUUAAGUGAUGCACUGAAGCUGUGCAGAUGAAGUUAUAUGCUCUGGUACCACAACGAGGUACAA